rnacentral:rRNA from 1 species
AUUGAACGCUGGCGGCAGGCCUAACACAUGCAAGUCGAACGGUAACAGGAAGAAGCUUGCUUCUUUGCUGACGAGUGGCGGACGGGUGAGUAAUGUCUGGGAAACUGCCUGAUGGAGGGGGAUAACUACUGGAAACGGUAGCUAAUACCGCAUAAUGUCGCAAGACCAAAGAGGGGGACCUUCGGGCCUCUUGCCAUCGGAUGUGCCCAGAUGGGAUCAGCUAGUAGGUGGGGUAACGGCUCACCUAGGCGACGCUCCCUAGCUGGUCUGAGAGGAUGACCAGCCACACUGGAACUGAGACACGGUCCAGACUCCUACGGGAGGCAGCAGUGGGGAAUAUUGCACAAUGGGGGCAUGCCUGAUGCAGCUAUGCCGCGUGUAUGAAGAAGGCCUUCGGGUUGUAAAGUACUUUCAGCGGGGAGGAAGGGAGUAAAGUUAAUACCUUUGCUCAUUGACGUUACCCGCAGAAGAAGCACCGGCUAACUCCGUG